rnacentral:rRNA from 1 species
CGUGCUAAUCUGCGAUAAGCGCCGGUAAGGUGAUAUGAACCGUUAUAACCGGCGAUUUCCGAAUGGGGAAACCCAGUGUGACUCGUCACACUAUCAUUAACUGAAUCCAUAGGUUAAUGAGGCGAACCGGGGGAACUGAAACAUCUAAGUACCCCGAGGAAAAGAAAUCAACCGAGAUUCCCCCAGUAGCGGCGAGCGAACGGGGAGGAGCCCAGAGCCUGAAUCAGCAUGUGUGUUAGUGGAAGCGUCUGGAAAGGCGCGCGAUACAGGGUGACAGCCCCGUACACAAAAGCGCAUGUGCUGUGAGCUCGAUGAGUAGGGCGGGACACGUGGUAUCCUGUCUGAAUAUGGGGGGACCAUCCUCCAAGGCUAAAUACUCCUGACUGACCGAUAGUGAACCAGUACCGUGAGGGAAAGGCGAAAAGAACCCCGGCGAGGGGAGUGAAAAAGAACCUGAAACCGUGUACGUACAAGCAGUGGGAGCACCCUUUGGGGUGUGACUGCGUACCUUUUGUAUAAUGGGUCAGCGACUUAUAUUCUGUAGCAAGGUUAACCGAAUAGGGGAGC